UGGGAAAUAGUCUAAUUUUGGUAAAACUACAAUCUCGUAUUGUUAUUUCAGGUUCAAGUCCUGGUUUCUCCU
rnacentral:tRNA from 1 species